GCAGUUGUGGCGGAAUUGGCAUACGCGCUAGAUUCAGGUUCUAGUCCACAAUACGUGGGUUCGGGUUCAAGUCCCGUCAACUGCA
rnacentral:tRNA from 1 species